AGCAUUACCAGAACCUUUGCAUCGGGGAAAACAGAAAAGGUGAUCUUUCAAGCACUCAAGGAAUUAGGUCUUCCCAGUGGAAAGAAUGAUGAAAUUGAGCCUGCAGCAUUUACUUAUGAAAAGUUCUAUGAACUGACACAAAAGAUUUGUCCCCGAACGGACAUAGAAGAUCUUUUUAAAAAAAUCAAUGGAGACAAAACUGAUUAUUUAACGGUAGACCAAUUAGUGAGCUUUCUAAAUGAA